rnacentral:snRNA from 1 species
GCUUGCUUCGGCAGGCACAUAUACUAAAAAUUGGAAUGGAUACCAGAGAAGAGUUAUCACAUGGCCCCUGCGCAAGGAUGACAUGCAAAAUUUGUGAAGCAUUCCGCAUAUUU